rnacentral:rRNA from 1 species
UACGUAGGGGCAAGCGUUGUCCGGAUUUAUUGGGCGUAAAGCGCGCGUAGGCGGCGCGGUAUGUCGUGCGUGAAAUCUCCCGGCUUAACUGGGAGGGGCCGUGCGAAACUGCCGGGCUUGAGGUCGGAAGGGGAAAGUGGAAUUCCGGGUGUAGUGGUGGAAUACGUAGAUAUCCGGAGGAACACCAGCGGCGAAGGCGGCUUUCUGGUCCGAUACUGACGCUGAGGUGCGAAAGCGUGGGAGCGA